rnacentral:lncRNA from 1 species
AUAUAUGUAUAUAUAUAUAUAUAGAUUGUUUUGACGGAAAGAGCCACAUAUUAUUAACCUAAGCUUGUUAUUGACUUGGGUAUUAUAACGUUUUAAUUAAGUUGUAAAAUUCACUAUACAUGUAACUCCAUAAGGACAAAUUUAGCAGCAUUAUUAAUUGUUGGUGGAAGCUAACAACCAGUAGGUGACUAGAUCAUUCACUAGCAAGAAGCGCCCGAGUUCAAAUUUUAUUACAAUUUUCGACUAGAAUGGAUUAAUUAGACAAUCAAAGACCAACACAUGACAAGUGACUUAAAAAUGAUAUCUCAUUGCCAAAUACAAUAAAUUAGAUAGAACGUAACCAUAUCUUCUUCUAUUCUUUAAUAGUGGUAGGGUCUGUUUUAACCUAUUAAUUUAUACUAAUAAUAGAUAGAACCAAUUAAAUUAAAGAUAUCGAUGAUUAGAAACUACGAAGAAUGUAAUGUAAUUAUGUAAAUCGCAUUACCUCUAAUUGCUUGAGAGCUAGAGGGCAUUCACUGAGAUACUUGACCGCUAACGUGACGAGAACGGGAACCGAGUCCUCAGCAGGAAUCAUCAAAUCGAUCAUAUUAUCCGAGAUCAACUCGUCGGUCAAUAGAUUGCUACUGUCGUUAAUCAACACAUCGAUCGCAUCUCGAGGAGCGCGACUAUUGGUGUUCCUCCUCUUCUCUUGGAUGAUUUUUUGAAUUAACGUAGCCAUCCUCUUCUUUGCCUAUAGGAAUUGAUGAGCAUUACAUAUUUCUAACAUUCUUAAUUAGUAAUACAUCAACAUGAACAAUGCCAUACAAUCUCUACGUGCGUAGGAAUAAAUUAAUGGUGCAUCAUGUUGUCAAUUGAAAGAGUUAGAUUAAAUUAAUUACCUUUAGUGAUCUAUAAAGCCUGCUCCCUGGUACUUUAAUUGGCAAGGACAUCAACCCAGCAAUAAAUUCUUGGAACUGUUGCUUCAGGAAGUCCAUUUCCUUCCCUGGCUCCAACCCAAUCAACCCUUUCACCAGUAUUUGGAACACAAUCUGUUGGGGCAAAAUACGAUUCCACAAAUUAAUUAGCUUAUCAACUCCAUAAAACCAUCAAUAAUCACAUGAACAAAGAUAUAUCUUCGCAUGCAAAAAUUAUUAUCAACAAAACAGCCGGGUCAAGUCAAUUUCAUAAACUAUAAUUUUCACUCCGUAUUUGAGUGUGCGUUGCGCGUAUGACUAUGUUUUUAUUCCACGAAAGGUAAAGGCCCACAAAAUUAAUGGUGAUAACAACGGGUAGGCACAAGCAUCGCCCCGACCCCUUGAAAGCUCAUUGAAUUCAAUCACUGUGGCCGUUCUUAGACCUUCCAUGUGGUGACACAGGUGUGCACGCGUGCAUCCUUAAUGUGUGUCAGAGAAUGAAGCAAAGCUAACAAGAGAGAGAGAGAGAGAGAGAGAGAGAGAGAGAGAGAGAGAGCGAAAAAAAGAACAAAAAAAAGAAAAAAAAAAAAGAAGAAGAAGAAGGGAGAUCGAUUAAUUAAUACGAGUCUAGAUAUUUUGGCCUACUUUAGGGAGUACGAUCCUACUGUGAGUAAAUAUUUUUAUAUGCAAAUAUUAAAGUAAAUUUUCUUUAAAUCCUAUUUCUAAUUUUUGAAACUUUGUAGUUAAUUAACCAAAUAUAUUAUUACAGAAAAAUAUUUAUAUCCGUCGAAUUAUACGUGUACGCAGAAUAAAUUAUUUUUUUGUAUAUUAGUACGAGUUUUACGGCAGUUUUUUAUAUUCUAAUUUUACAUACACCUAUAUAAUUAUGCGUAACCACAAUUUAAUAAUAAUAAUAAAAAGAAAAGGAGGACUAACCAAUUUGGCUUCAUCUUGUAUGCGGACGAGGUGCGGGCGAUGAUGAUCAGGACCGUCCACAGGCCAGCGGGCCAUGGAGGAGGCCACGUAGCGCUGCAUGUCGCUGGUGAUCUGCGCCUUCAGGUGCGGCGACUUGAAGAAGGCGCCGAUCAGGCCGUGCACGCGGCGCUGCAGGCCGCCGUUGAUGAGCAGGAUCGACGACUUCCCCAUCAACUCCGUCAGCGACUUCGGGUACGACGGCACGAACGAUCGCGCGUCGCUCUGCAGCACGAACCGGCUCACCUCCGCGUCCGUCGACACGAUCGUCGGGCUCCCGAAUAUGUGCGACUUGAACACUCUCCCGUACCUUAUUCAAACAGAUUCACAAAUUAACUACCUACCUACCUACCUACCAACCUACGUCUCAAAACUCAAAAAUUACUUAGUUUUAAAUUUUAUUUAACGAAUAAUAAUAAGAUUAAGAAGCGGCUGAAUUCAGAUGUGAUACUAGCUUCAUUAAUUAGAAAGUGGGCGGGAACGAAAGUCGACAAUGGCUCACUUCCGCCACCGCAUUAUCAAUAAUUAAUUUAUUAUAUAUAUUUUUUUUUCUUAAAAAAAGUUGAUAAAAUUAGUUUUUAAUAAUUAUGAUAAAGUAAGUGAAUUUUAAAAAAUAAUUAGUUAGAGACGUCGCGUCUCAUCAAUAGUAAUAUAACUGAUGUAUUCUAAAAAAAGAGAGAGAGGGAGAGGGAGAGGGGAAGGAAGCUCACAAGAGGCGGCGCUUCUCCAUGAAGGUCUCCGGGCACGGAGAGUAGGCGGCGGAGACGAAGUCGAUGGUUUCGCCGACGAAAGGCCACCCGAGAGAGCCUCCGGGGAGUUGGGCUCUUCUCAGCUUCUUCCUUCUCCCGAGCACCCAACUCUUAACAUGAAAGAUCGAUGUUACUCCCACAAUAAUAAUUAUCACUAACACGGCUGCGCACAGCAACAUCAACAACCAAGUGCUCAUAUUGAGAGAGAGAGAGAGAGAGAGAGAGAGAGAGAGAGAGAGAAGAGGAGAAGUAGAGUAGGGAAAUUUUGGUGUUCGAGAAGGCAAAGUACAAAGUAGGAAUUUAAAAGGGGUAGGGGGAGUUCCCCCUCUACAAAUAAAUGGUUGCAUAGUCCCCACCUCACGCGUCUAUGAUUGUAUGGCGCUACAGUACCUUUUCAUUUAUGUUCUAUUUUUCUUUUGUUCAUAUAUUUAUUUUAUUUAUUUUUGUACUUUUCGGAUCGACUCCCUGUAUAUGUAUAGCUACUAGUAAUUAACCGGGUGCGGCACAAUGUACAUACGUACAUAUUUAUAGGCUGGGCCUAUUAUAUUCUUAUACUUUUAUGAGUAUAAAAUUUUUUGUACUCAUAAAUAUUUAAUCGUUGAUUGAUGAAAUAUGUGGUUAGAAUGAUGGUGGUUCCCACGUAGAAUGAUAGUGGUUCCUUGAGUUGAGUGGGUAGUUAAUUGAAUAGUAUGAUCUAACGACUGAAAAUGAUUAUAAAAUAAAUCUAAGAGCCGAAAACUUAUGAGUAUAAGAAUAUAUAUAUAUAUAUAUAUAUAUAUAUAUAU